GACUCUCCACAACAGAUUUCUCAGCUCUCACAUCGAUGAAGAACGUAGCGAAAUGUGAUACUUGGUGUGAAUUGCAGAAUCCCGUGAACCAUCGAGUCUUUGAACGCAAGUUGCGCCCGAAGCCAUUUGGCCGAGGGCACGUCUGCCUAGGAGUCA
rnacentral:rRNA from 1 species